UACGAGAACCCCAAGCGUUAUCCGGAAUCAUUGGGCGUAAAGGGUGUGUAGGUGGUUUGGUUAGUCUUCUGUAAAAAUCUUGGGCUCAACCCAAGACCUGCGGAGGAAACGGCCAGACUCGAGGGUGCGAGAGGUGAAUGGAACUCAUGGAGUAGGGGUGAAAUCCGUUGAUAUCAUGGGGAACACCAAAGGCGAAGGCAAUUCACUGGCGCAUUUCUGACACUGAAACACGAAAGCGUGGGUAGCGAACGGG
rnacentral:rRNA from 1 species